AUCAGGCAUCAGGAUACAGUACAAUAAUCAGGAGGAUUAUGUUGAAGCCUCGCCCCCUAAUCUGAGCAACACUUCAUUGAUGGCUUCUGCUGAUGCGACGUCCCCUAAUCGCACUUAGACUUGAGACUGAGACGUCGCUGUAAUGAUAUUAUCAUUUUGAGACUUUCAUUGAAGAGAAAAUGGAACGAGACCAGACCAAGCUCACAGAGAUGUGUACAAAUAAGCAAAUGAGCAUUUGAAGGCAGCUGUCAAUCAGCAUUCAGGUACUUCAGGUUUUGUUGCUGUUACUGGAAAAAGCAGGUUUUGUCAUGUUGCUAAUGUUCUUUCCAGCAUUUUUAACCUAUUUACCAGCAUGCCUAUCUUGGUCACCCACUCAUGCUGCAGCAUGUAAAUUCAAGUUGAUAAAACACUCAGUGAUACUUUCUGUGAUGUUUGGCAGGAGGAAUGUUACAGUCUUUUUUUUUUUUUAACAGUCUUCAUAUAUUUGUAUCUUUGGUAUACAUUUUUAUCUUUGGUGAAAUGUGCAAAAAUGAAUCACAAUAAACAUGAGUAUUAAAUCAGA